CCUUGGUUUCUCUGAGAAGAAACUGUAAAUCUCGUCCACUGAGGAUUCCAUGAUUCUUCACGUAGCUGGGCAUGUGGAACUCAACACAUCAGUUUUGGCUCAUCCUUAUUGUGGGGGAGGAAGUUUGGGGAAGAGAAAGGAAAGCCCUGAAAAUUCAAGUCUGCCUGGAAUAGACAUUUGGAGAUGCCAAGGAGUCCCUGUGGAAAGGAAGCACACAGUCCCUGCCAAUCUAUGCUUUGAUGAAUGGCUCGGUUCCUCUUGUCAAAAAGGCAGCCUGCCUAUUAAAGAGAUCUAGUGGUCCUGGAUAAUACCUAUUUAUUAACCAAGUGACCACAAUGAUGUAAAGGAAAAUGAUGCUAGAAGACAUCAGAACUCAGAUCAAUGAAAGUGAUCAAUUUCGGCUCCAGGGGACUGAUUAUGAAACCUCCCUCCCUCUUCUCAGCAGAGG